rnacentral:rRNA from 1 species
AUUGAACGCUGGCGGCAGGCCUAACACAUGCAAGUCGAACGAGUGGCGGACGGGUGAGUAAUGUCUGGGAAACUGCCUGAUGGAGGGGGAUAACUACUGGAAACGGUAGCUAAUACCGCAUACCAACAGAGGUGCACAGAUGGGCUUAGCUGGGUGGUGGGGUAACGGCUCACCAAGGCGACGAUCCCUAGCUGGUCUGAGAGGAGGACCAGCCACACUGGAUCUGAGACACGUUCCAGGCGCCUACGGGAGGUAGCAGUGGGGAAUAUUGCACAAUGGGCGCAAGCCUGAGGCAGCCAUGCCGCGUGUAUGAAGAAGGCCUUCGGGUUGUAAAGUACUUUCAGCGGGGAGGCGUUACCCGCAGAAGAAGCACCGGCUAACUCCGUGCCAGCAGCCGCGGUAAUUC